CAGAUUUACCUGACUGUACCUGCCUUCCUUUCUUCCCCACAGUAUUUUACAUGAUCUUGGCAAUAUCAGUGGAAGCAAUACUCAUCUGCAUCCUGAUUGGUACAACUAUCUUUUUUGUCAGGUCAAGGGUACACAGUUGGAGCAUAUAUUCUUGUCCUCUACCGGAAAAUACUAUAUCUCUGGAAACACAACAAGAGGAGGAUUAUACCUCAUUAACAGAAAGAGUUCAACUUCCUUGCUGCGAAAUGAAUAAAUGAUAAAAUAAUUAAGAUUUUACUCAA